rnacentral:rRNA from 1 species
GAGAGUUAAACAGUACGUGAAAUUGUUGAAAGGGAAACGAUUGAAGUCAGUCAUACCAACGGGAAAUCAACCUUUUGAGCUUGGUUUCGUGGGUUUUGAAGAGUUUCAAAGCCUUCGGAUUCGCGAGAUUGGGAUCUCUCGGUGUACUUUCUCGUACGGUUAGUCAACAUCGGUUUUGAAUGUCAUAAAAUGACUGGAGGAAUGUAGCUUCGAUCUCGUAUUGAAGUGUUAUAGCCUUUGGUAGAUGUGAUGUUUGAGACCGAGGAUUGCAACGGAUACCCUUCAGGGCUAUUCGUCUGAUCUCUGAUACGUUGCCUUGAUGUUGAAAGCUUGCUUAUGAUGUUAGGGUAUUACGGUCAAAAGGUUAGAACGAAUUACAUUCGUUAAGGAUGUUGACGUAAUGACUUUAAACGA